CUGGGGCUUGGGAUUUGGGGGAGGGCAGGACUCAGGAAGCGCUGCGCUCACUUGGGCUUCAGGUCUGCUCUCCAUUCCUGAUGGAGAGGCACCGCUUUAACCAGCCUGCCUCCCCAGGGCUGGGGCAGCUGCUUCUCCCCACAGCGUGCCCAGCACCAAGCAAGUGUGCGGUGCAGCGUCCUCAUCCAUCUCACCAUCCCUGGCCAGGGGGCAGGGCUGCUCGAGGCUGCGAGUGGACAAGACCCCCUGCUCUGCCUUGCGAGCAUGUGUGCACGCACGGGGAUGUGUGCAUGCGUGACCGUGUGUGUGUGUGUAUCUUGCACAUGCAUGUGCAGAGCACCAUGUGAGCACGCAGGUGCACUCGGGCCAGACUUCGGGGGCAUGGGGUGGGCACAAGGUUGAUGGUGGCUGUGGCAACCACCCGUCCGUCCUCUCUUCCCACCGCAGCUGCUAGGUCUCCCUGUGGCCCGGGUGCUUCCUGCUGGAGGUCCUGGCCCGGCAGUGUUUAUUGCCCUGAGGGGAGACCUCAGGCUGGGCUCCAGGUGGCUCCCACAUUGCAGAAAGGUGUGAUGAAAGCAUCCAGCUGUCUGAAGUUCCUGUCCUGGUUCCCAAAAUCUCCAGCCACAGCUCGGACCCUCGACACACCAAGCUGGCCCCUCCUUCCACCCGCACACCGGCCCUCUCCCCAGGGAAUGGACUUCUCCACCCUCGCCUCUCCGUUCUCACCGAAGCACCAGUAUUAGUGGAUGUGAAUGGCUUUCGCGCCGACGCAGCCCACCAGACAAGAUGGGCAGCAGGAGCACACCCCCCAUCACCCUUCUUCAAGACGCCCCAUAAAAUACCAGCUGCAAUCGGAGCACCUCUUUCUCUUGAGAGUCCACACGUAUUUCUUUGUUUACUUUAGAUUCUGCCUAAUAAAUCCCUUUAUGUCUCUUCCUGAUCCAUCUAGAAAAGUCUCUUUCUUUUCUGUUUUUGUUUUUUUUAAAAAAAAAAAAAAAACAGGGUCUCCCUAGGUAGCCCAGGUUGGUAUGGACCUCACAGUGAUCCUCCUGCCUCAGCCUCGCCAUUAAA
rnacentral:lncRNA from 1 species